GCACUGGUGAGGUGUCCCACAAUAGGACGAAACGGCCGUUCAGUGC
rfam:Schistosoma rodhaini strain Burundi genome assembly, scaffold: SROB_scaffold0000525